rnacentral:lncRNA from 1 species
AAACAUUAUUCUUGAUGUCUCUGCAAGACUGUUUUGGGGGUGAAAUUAACAGGCAAGUUGGUGAGCUUUGGUGAAGCAAACAACCUUACAUGAUGAUAUUGACGGAUGUCCUUACUGGUAAGGCUGUCUGGGACUCUCAGUGAAAAGACCGGCCAUGUGUGCCUCCAGAUGGUACUAGAUCCAGGUGCUAGAACAAGAUGAGCAAGUGAAUCUCUCAUACUUCAGAUCCUUCAAGGAUCUUGAAAAGAGCGCUGGAAUCAAAGGCGAACGCCACCACUGCCCGGCCUUGUUUUGUUUUUAAAGACAGUUUUCGGCACACAGAGAGGCUGUGAGUUAGGACGGGGGUUUCUUGCCGUUGCCACCAUUCUCAUUGACACGUUAUGCUGCACACAGCAGAGCCCCAUCCUGAAUGCCCAGCGGUGCCCACAGCCAGGAGGAGCAUUCGAUGUGUGAUGACUCAUCUCGUGCAUCAGACGCUCUCUAAAGUUCCCACAGAUUAUACCAUGGCUUAGUGAGUGCGAUUCUAAGACAGUUCCAAAAGACUUUUCAAUCCGUGGGAGUUUCAAAGUGGAUUCUCAGACAAACAUGGGGAGGACUGAGGCAGGCUUGGACACGCACAGAAUCAGACAACGAUGGUCCGGAGUUCAAAUCCCUGCAACCACAUGGUGGCUCACAACCAACUGUAAUGAGAUCUGGCGCCCUCUUCUGGAGUGUCUGAAGACAGAUACAGUGUACUUACAUAUAGUAAAUAAAUAAAUCUUAAAAAAAAAAAAAACUGA